rnacentral:rRNA from 1 species
GAUGAACGCUGGCGGCGUGCCUAAUACAUGCAAGUCGAGCGAACAGACGAGGAGCUUGCUCCUCUGACGUUAGCGGCGGACGGGUGAGUAACACGUGGAUAACCUACCUAUAAGACUGGGAUAACUUCGGGAAACCGGAGCUAAUACCGGAUAAUAUAUUGAACCGCAUGGUUCAAUAGUGAAAGACGGUUUUGCUGUCACUUAUAGAUGGAUCCGCGCCGCAUUAGCUAGUUGGUAAGGUAACGGCUUACCAAGGCGACGAUGCGUAGCCGACCUGAGAGGGUGAUCGGCCACAAUGGAACUGAGACACGGUCCAGACUCCUACGGGAGGCAGCAGUAGGGAAUCUUCCGCAAUGGGCGAAAGCCUGACGGAGCAACGCCGCGUGAGUGAUGAAGGUCUUCGGAUCGUAAAACUCUGUUAUUAGGGAAGAACAAAUGUGUAAGUAACUAUGCACGUCUUGACGGUACCUAAUCAGAAAGCCACGGCUAACUACGU